UACGGGGGGAGCAAGCGUUGUUCGGAUUUACUGGGCGUAAAGGGCGCGUAGGCGGUCUUCCAAGUCAGUGGUGAAAGCCCGGAGCUCAACUCCGGAACUGCCAUUGAAACUGUAAGACUUGAGGACGAGAGAGGUGAGUGGAAUUCCCAGUGUAGAGGUGAAAUUCGUAGAUAUUGGGAAGAACACCAGUGGCGAAGGCGGCUCACUGGCUCGUAUCUGACGCUCAGGCGCGACAGCGUGGGGAUCAAACAGG
rnacentral:rRNA from 1 species